UACGUAGGGGGCGAGCGUUGUCCGAAGUUACUGGGCGUAAAGCGCGCGUAGGCGGUCUCUUAAGUCCGGGGUGAAAGGUUCAGCGCUCAACGCGAACAGUGCCCUGGAGACUGGGGGACUUGAGUGUGGGAGGGGGCAGUGGAAUUCCGGGUGUAGCGGUGAAAUGCGUAGAUAUCCGAAGGAACACCGAUGGCGAAGGCAGCUGCCUGGCCUGACACUGACGCUGAGGUGCGAAAGCGUGGGGAGCGAUCCGG
rnacentral:rRNA from 1 species